GAUUAAAGAGUAAAUCAAUUAUUUUUAUUAAAAAUUAGUGUGGGUAACAGAAUAACUAGACGGUGACAUGUAGUAUGUCACAUAUAUCUCAUACUAACGUAAGUAUAUUAAUUUUUAACAAUAAAAAUGAAUGAAAUUUUUACUA
rnacentral:pre_miRNA from 1 species